rnacentral:rRNA from 1 species
UACAGAGGGUGCGAGCGUUAAUCGGAAUUACUGGGCGUAAAGCGUGCGCAGGCGGUUUGCUAAGACAGGUGUGAAAUCCCCGGGCUUAACCUGGGAACUGCGCUUGUAACUGGCAAGCUGGAGUGUGGCAGAGGGGGGUGGAAUUCCACGUGUAGCAGUGAAAUGCGUAGAGAUGUGGAGGAACACCGAUGGCGAAGGCAGCCCCCUGGGCUAACACUGACGCUCAUGCACGAAAGCGUGGGGAGCAAACAGG